GACGAACGCUGGCGGCGUGCUUAACACAUGCAAGUCGAACGGAAAGGCCCUGCUUUUGUGGGGUGCUCGAGUGGCGAACGGGUGAGUAACACGUGAGUAACCUGCCCUUGACUUUGGGAUAACUUCAGGAAACUGGGGCUAAUACCGGAUAGGAGCUCCUGCUGCAUGGUGGGGGUUGGAAAGUUUCGGCGGUUGGGGAUGGACUCGCGGCUUAUCAGCUUGUUGGUGGGGUAGUGGCUUACCAAGGCUUUGACGGGUAGGCGGCCUGAGAGGGUGACCGGCCACAUUGGGACUGAGAUACGGACCAGACUCCUACGGGAGGCAGCAGUCGGGAAUAUUGCACAAUGGGCGGAAGCCUGAUGCAGCAACGCCGCGUGCGGGAUGACGGCCUUCGGGUUGUGAACCGCUUUCGACUGUGACGAAGCGUGAGUGACGGUAAUGGGUAAAGAAGCACCGGCUAACUACGUG
rnacentral:rRNA from 1 species